rnacentral:rRNA from 1 species
GACCUACGGGUGGCUGCAGUGGGGAAUAUUGGACAAUGGGGGGAACCCUGAUCCAGCCAUGCCGCGUGUGUGAAGAAGGCCUUUUGGUUGUAAAGCACUUUAAGUGGGGAGGAGGCUCUCUUGGUUAAUACCUAAGAAGAGUGGACGUUACCCACAGAAUAAGCACCGGCUAACUCUGUGCCAGCAGCCGCGGUAAUACAGAGGGUGCUAGCGUUAAUCGGAUUUACUGGGCGUAAAGCGCGCGUAGGUGGGUAAUUAAGUCAAAUGUGAAAUCCCCGAGCUUAACUUGGGAAUUGCAUUCGAUACUGGUUAGCUAGAGUAUGGGAGAGGAUGGUAGAAUUCCAGGUGUAGCGGUGAAAUGCGUAGAGAUCUGGAGGAAUACCGAUGGCGAAGGCAGCCAUCUGGCCUAAUACUGACACUGAGGUGCGAAAGCAUGGGGAGCAAACAGGAUUAGAUACCCUUGUAGUCCG